AUUUUAUGGUUGAUUAAGGGUUAAGGUUAGGGUUAGGUGUAGGGUUAGAUUUUAUGGUUGAUUAAGGGUUAAGGUUAGGGUUAAGUGUAGGGUUAGAUUUUAGGGUUGAUUAAGGGUUAAGGUUGGGGUUAGGUGUAGGGUUAGAUUUUAGGGUUGAUUAAGGGUUAAGGUUAGGGUUAGGUGUACGGUUAGGUUCUAUUUUGAGUUAUUUACAUUCAACAUAGGGUUUAGUUA